ACGAACGCUGGCGGCGCGCCUAACACAUGCAAGUCGAACGAGCGAGAGAAAGUUUGCUUUCUCGAGCGAGUGGCGAACGGGUGAGUAACGCGUGAGGAACCUGCCUCAAAGAGGGGGACAACAGUUGGAAACGACUGCUAAUACCGCAUAAGCCCACGACCCGGCAUCGGGUAGAGGGAAAAGGAGCAAUCCGCUUUGAGAUGGCCUCGCGUCCGAUUAGCUAGUUGGUGAGGUAACGGCCCACCAAGGCAACGAUCGGUAGCCGGACUGAGAGGUUGAACGGCCACAUUGGGACGGAGACACGGCCCAGACGCCUACGGGAGGCAGCAGUGGGGAAUAUUGCACAAUGGGGGAAACCUUGAUGCAGCGACGCCGCGUGGAGGAAGAAGGUCUUCGGAUUGUAAACUCCUGUUGUUGAGGAAGAUAAUGACGGUACUCAACAAGGAAGUGACGGCUAACUACGUGCCAGCAGCCGCCGUAAAAC
rnacentral:rRNA from 1 species